CCAUCCAGGGAUCCCAGACUUCUUGUUUCCUGAGACUGUUGUGCCCAAGAUUGCGAAUCCGAAAAACCAUGGAGAAGCCCACACCGAAGCAAACACACGAGGGUUUAUUUACAAGCUCGAGCUUGUGUCCAAGUAUACCUGACAGUGCGGAGCAGGGACUUUGACCCCGAGAGGAAGAAUCAGGGAUUCACCAGCUGGAGAUAACAGCAGUGCUCGUGACAUCACAUGACCUCCUUCAAGCAGGUCCCCUGUUAACCUCCCCGCCUCCAACGAUCAUCAGUUUGUUUCCUAUCAUUAAGAGUCAGUAUUUCAGAGAUCCCUGGG